CCUUUAAUGUUUGAUGUUCUAACGUGGACCCGUAAUCCGGGUUGCGGACAGUGUCUGGUGGGUAGUUUGACUGGGGCGGUCUCCUCCUAAAGAGUAACGGAGGAGCACGAAGGUUGGCUAAUCCUGGUCGGACAUCAGGAGGUUAGUGCAAUGGCAUAAGCCAGCUUGACUGCGAGCGUGACGGCGCGAGCAGGUGCGAAAGCAGGUCAUAGUGAUCCGGUGGUUCUGAAUGGAAGGGCCAUCGCUCAACGGAUAAAAGGUACUCCGGGGAUAACAGGCUGAUACCGCCCAAGAGUUCAUAUCGACGGCGGUGUUUGGCACCUCGAUGUCGGCUCAUCACAUCCUGGGGCUGAAGUAGGUCCCAAGGGUAUGGCUGUUCGCCAUUUAAAGUGGUACGCGAGCUGGGUUUAGAACGUCGUGAGACAGUUCGGUCCCUAUCUGCCGUGGGCGCUGGAGAACUGAGGGGGGCUGCUCCUAGUACGAGAGGACCGGAGUGGACGCAUCACUGGUGUUCGGGUUGUCAUGCCAAUGGCACUGCCCGGUAGCUAAAUGCGGAAGAGAUAAGUGCUGAAAGCAUCUAA
rnacentral:rRNA from 2 species